UACAUGUGGGGCAAGCGUUGUUCGGAAUCACUGGGCGUAAAGCGCACGUAGGCGGAUUGCUAAGUCAGGGGUGAAAUCCUGGAGCUCAACUCCAGAACUGCCUUUGAUACUGGUGAUCUUGAGUCCGGGAGAGGUGAGUGGAACUGCGAGUGUAGAGGUGAAAUUCGUAGAUAUUCGCAAGAACACCAGUGGCGAAGGCGGCUCACUGGCCCGGUACUGACGCUGAGGUGCGAAAGCGUGGGGAGCAAACAGG
rnacentral:rRNA from 1 species